GGGGGCGACCUGGGUUCGACGCGGUUCGCGAAACCCGAGGUGCAUGCCGAGGCGCGAGUCCUCGUUAAUCCCUCGCACGGCAAAAUAGCUGCCAACGACGACGCUUACGCUC
rnacentral:tmRNA from 1 species